GGUAGUGUGGCCGAGUGGUCGAAGGCACUGGAAUUAGCCUCCAGUCUCUAUAGAGGUGUGGGUUCAAAUGCCACCACUACCA